rnacentral:lncRNA from 1 species
ACACACAGACACAAUUCAUCUUCUUGCCAGGAUUGACAGGUGCUGUUUUGAUAAGCACGGGAACCAUCAGUUCAAGGUAUCAGUCUUUAGACCAAGUAGAGUUUAGAUGAGCAGAAUCUUUUAAUUUGUUGAGAAUUGUGAGAAUGACAGUUGCACACAGUUCCUUUUUAUUUUAUUUUUUUUUUUUAUUCUUUCCCUCUUCAUUUGUACCAUUUCUGUAUCUAAAACAAUAAAAGAGUUAGAUGUGUCUCUAGUACGGGGCUUUGGCUGUAGAAACUACACAGGGCAUUUGGUCCCACUUUGAGCAGUUGUCCUUUUAGACUCACAUGAAUUAAGGAAAUCCAAAAAUACAAAACAAGCUCCAGCUGAAUUUAAAUUCCAGGUUUCUGAGUCUAGGAACUUCAGGGACCUAAGAGGAUACCUAAAGAUUCAGAUGUAUUCUAUGGACAUCAGCUGUAAAAAAGUGCCUUCUUUUUAAUACUUAACAAUUUUUUAAUUCUUCAUUUAAUAUUUGGCUACAGUCGCCACCGAAAUAAUGUUACAUAUUUGGAGACUCCAUUGAGCUCUGGAAUAUCUGCUAGGUUAUUUUCUUUCUUGUUUAUUUCAUAAAACUAUUCCUUCGUCUGUUCAGAAGUUUCUUUUGGAACUGCAGGUGUGUGUUGAAAGCCAGAUGUAAAUUAAAUUACAACAUAUGCAGAAGGGAUCCCUUACAGAUGGAAAAUGCAUAUUUUCAGCUGACCUACUCCUCAGGUAACAAUGGGUGGGAGUAAAAUAUUUAUUGUAGACUAUGUAAUUACCAUUUUAUUAUUAUUUUUUAAAGCUUCAAAAUUGUAAUCAAACAGCAUUCAUGGGAUUGAGUUGCAGAAAAAGAGGAAUUGGAGGGAAAUUUUCAAUCAGAAGCAAGUUCAUUGAGAAAUAGGUUUAGGAACUUUCACCCAAGACGGCAGGUGUCAGUCAAGAAUAUAAUUCAGGGAAUCAAACUAUAAUCUGGAAAAUGGAGAGUCCACAUAAAAUUUUAUUCUACAAUCUGAGAAGAUUUAUUUUAUUUUAAUGACCAUCACUGGAUAGCUGUUUGGCCAGUUGUGCUGAGUAUACUGCAUAGAGUUUCCUGUGCUCCACAGAGGUCACUGGGAGGAUGUGACUGCUGGUUGACCCAUGAGCUGGAACCAGGCACUUGGAGGCUCCUCACCCCCACCUCUGUUCUUGGAAUGAAUAUCCUGCCCACAUUACUCACAGCCAAAGUCUUUUUCAAGAAUGUGGCCUGGAGAGAGCAACGCAUUGUUGAGAACCUCUGAAUAGUAGAUAUGGCUGAAGCUCAUGAAGGCCUCUAUAUAAACUUUUAAGAUUCUGGUGGGCCAUGCAGAGAUCUGUUCAUCUCGUGGCUGCCCAAGACAAGCCUCAGAAUACCUUGACUUCUGAGACUCUGGUUGGAAGCUUUACGUUAUUGCCUUCUGCUCAGGGAUCUACCUUCACUGAAAAUCGGUAAAUGCCGCCAGGAAAAAGCAGUAAAGAAUGUCAGGAUGUUGACCUUCUCCUAGGGAUCUGGGAGUAAUACAACUAAACUUGUUAUAGCUGGAAAUAAUAGCACCUCCCUCCUGAGUAUUUCGUUAUUUCUCUGAAUUAACACGUACCUUUUUUUUUUUUUUUUUUAAACUGCGUUCUUUUGUUAGUCUAUGAACUUCUGGAAAACGGGUGACUCCCUUUCACUUUAAAUGGCUUGAUUGAGACAAAAUUCACUGUCUGUAAAAGUACCCAUUGUAAGUGUACAGUGAUUUUUACUAAAUUUGUAAACCUGAUAACCACACCACAAUCAAGUUUUAGCAUAGUUCUAUCACCCCCAAAAGUCCCCUCAUGACUAUUUACAGUUAAUACUUGCUGCCAUCCUGGCCCUGGGCAGCCAUUGAUGUGCCUACUAUCCCUACAGAUUUACCUUUUGUAGAUUUUUAACGUAAAGGGAAUCAUGCUAUGUGUGGCCUUCUGCGCCUGGCUUCUGUGCCUUAGUAUAUAAUGUUUUUUGAAGUUCAUUUAUGUAGUAACAGAUAGUCGUUUUUAUCUUUUUUUUCUGAGUAAUAUUCCAUUGCAUAAAUAUGCAACAUUUUGUUUAUCGACUUACCUGUUCAUUAGGAUUGCUUUUAGUUUUUGGCUAUUAUGAAUAAUGCUUCUGUUGACAUUCAUAUAUAUGUCUUUGUGUGAACAUGUUUUCCAUUCAUGUUGGGUAAAUUUCUAGCAAGGAAUUGCUGAGUUAUAUGAAAGGUGAUGGUUAGCUUAAAAAAAAAAAAUCACCAAAUUGUUUCACAAAGUAGUGGCACAGUUUUACAUUUCAUUACCAAUGUAUGAAGGUUUUCCACAUUUUCAGUGACAUUUUUAGUUUCACAUGUACAGCAAUGUGAUUCAGUUUUAUAUACAUAUAUGUAUAUUUAUAUACAUAUGUAUUCUUUUCAGAUUCUUUUCCCUUAGACGUUAUUACAAAAUAAUGAGUAUAGUUCCCUGUGAUGUACCCAAAUCCUGUUGGUUAUCUAUUUUAUAUGUCGCAGUGUGUAUAUGUUAAUCCAAAACUCCUAAUUUUUACCUCCCUCCCCCUUUCCCCUUUGUAACCAUAAGUAUGUUUUCUAUGUUUGUGGCUCUAUUUCUGUUUUGUAUAUAAGGUCAUUUGUGUGUGUGUCUCUCUCUCUUUUUUUAGAUUCUACAUAUAAGUGAUAUCAUGUGAUAUUUGUUUUUGUCUGGCUUACUUCACUUAGUAUGAUAAUCUCUGGGUCCAUCAUGUUGUCCAAAAUGGCAUUAUUUCAUUCUUUUUUUAUGGCUGAGUAAUUCCGUAAUGUAUAUAUGCCAUGUUUUCUUGAUCCAUUUAUCUGUUGGUGAACAUUUAGUUGCUCCAUGUCCUGGCUAUUAUCAAUGGUGCUGCCAUGAACACUGGGGUGCUUGUAUCUUUUCAAAUUAUGGUUUUCUGUGCCAGAAUGAUCCUGGCACAGAAGCAGAAAUAUAGGUCAACAGAACAGGAUAGAAAGCCCAGAAAUAAACCCAUGUACCUAUGGCCGAUUAAUCUACGAGAAAGAAGGCAAGAGUAUACAAUGGAGAAAAGACAGUCUUUUCACUAAAUGGUGCUGGGAAAAAUGGACAGCUACAUGUAAAAGAAUGAAAUUAGAACAUUUUCUAACACCAUACAUAAAAAUAAACUUGAAAUGGAUUGAAGACCUAAAUGUAAAACAGGAUACUAUAAAACUCCAUGAGGAAAACAUAGGCAGAACACUGACAUAAAUCACUGCAAUAUUUUUUUGGAUCUGUCUCAGAGAGUACUGGAAAUAAAAAUAAACAGAUGGAACCCUUUUCUUAAUGGUGUCCUUCAAAGUGCAGCUUUUUAAUAUUAAUAAAGCCCAAUAUAUUGGUUUAUUUUCAUUAUGGAUGGUGCUUUUUGCACUAUAUCUGAAAGUCUUUGCCUUAUUCAGUGUAAUAAACAUUUUGUCUUAUACUUUCUUCUAGUUUUAUAGGCUUAGUUCAUACAUUUAUGUUUAUGAUUCAUUUUUAGUUAAUUUUUAUAUGUUUGUGAGGUCAGGGUCUACAUUUAAUAUAUUUCUUUGUAUGUGCAUACCCAAUGAUCUCAGCACCAUUUUUUGAGAAAACCAGCCUUUCCACAUUAGAUUGUGUUGGCAUCUUUGUUAAAAUGUAAGAGUUUAUUUCUGGAACCUUUUUUUGCAUUGAUCUAUAUGUCUAUCCUUAUGUUAGUACCACAGUCUUGAUUACUAUGGCUGUAGAGUAUGUUGUGAAAUUAGCUAGGGUAAAUCAUCUAAAUUUGUUCAUUUUCAAAAUUGUUUUGGCUAUUCUAUAUCCUUUACUUUUCCAUAAAGAUUUUGGGAUCAACUUCUAAAUUUCUGUAAAAAAAAUCCUACUGGGAUUUUGAUGAGGAUUGAAUUGAAGUUAUACACUGAUUUGGCAAUAUUGAGUCUUCUAUAUGAACGUGAGAAAUCUUUCCAUUUAUUUAGAUUUUCUUUACUUUCUUUUAGCAAUUAUAGUUUUUUUGGGUGGGGAGGGAGGCUUUAUUGUAAUUUUCAGUGUGUAAGUUUUAUAGUUCUUUUGUUAAAGUAAUUCUUAAAUUUUUUUUAUGUCAUUGUGAAUAGAACUGUUUUCAUUUCAUCUUUAGACUGCUGAUUGCCUAUAGAAAUAAAAUUAAUUUUUAUGUGUUGAGUUUGAACCCUGUGACUU